AACGAACGCUGGCGGCAUGCCUAACACAUGCAAGUCGAACGAGACCUUCGGGUCUAGUGGCGCACGGGUGCGUAACGCGUGGGAACCUGCCCUUAGGUUCGGAAUAACUCCCCGAAAGGGGUGCUAAUACCGGAUAAUGUCUUCGGACCAAAGAUUUAUCGCCUUUGGAUGGGCCCGCGUUGGAUUAGCUAGUUGGUAGGGUAAAAGCCUACUAAGGCGACGAUCCAUAGCUGGUCUGAGAGGAUGAUCAGCCACACUGGGACUGAGACACGGCCCAGACUCCUACGGGAGGCAGCAGUGGGGAAUAUUGGACAAUGGGCGAAAGCCUGAUCCAGCAAUGCCGCGUGAGUGAUGAAGGCCUUAGGGUUGUAAAGCUCUUUUACCCGGGAUGAUAAUGGCAGUACCGGGAGAAUAAGCUCCGGCUAACUCCGUG
rnacentral:rRNA from 1 species